CCACCACCAACAAGAUCAGUCACAACAACAUCUCCCAGUCUCUUCUUCUACAUCCAGAACUUAUGAACCUAAACAAUGAGAGUUCUAGAAUGUGUGUUCCUCCUAGCUGUCAUCUCUGCUGUUCAGGGACAGUCACUCACCUCCUCUGAAUCAGUGGUGAAGAGACCUGGAGAGCCAGUAACACUGUCCUGUACUGUGUCUGGAUUCUCCAUGGGAAGCAACUACAUGCACUGGAUCCGUCAGAAACCAGGAAAGGGACUAGAGUGGAUUGGACGGAUUGAUACUGGCACUGGCACUAUAUUUGCCCAGUCAUUGCAAGGCCAGUUCAGUAUCACUAAAGACAACUCCAAAAACCAGCUGAACUUAGAAGUGAAAAGCCUGAAAGCUGAAGACUCUGCUGUUUAUUAUUGUGCCAGAGACACAGUGACACAGAAGACUGCAGCACAUUACAAAAACUGAUCAACCCUGAUCUCAGUGAGGCAACGAUGCAACUGUGUUCUUUUAUCCACAAAACACACAAUGGCACACUGAUAUCAAUGUUAUCCACACACAAUCACACAGACAUUAAAAAGCUAACUAUUUAAAUUCACACAGAAAUCAGACUGAUCAUUUUAUAGUUUAGGUAAUCUUAAACAAAUGUAGAGGACAUCACUGAAUUAAUGUUACCAGUCAACCGAAAAACAGUUAAACACCCAAUAAUGUUUUUAUUAAAAAUACGGAGAACGAAAUAUAGAGAACUUGUAAUGGUUUCCAAUUUCCACACUUAGUAAAUAAAACAUUACAUG